CAAUAGCGUAUAUUAAAGUUGUUGCGGUUAAAAAGCUCGUAGUUGGAUUUCUGCUGAGGACGACCGGUCCGCCCUCUGGGUGAGUAUCUGGCUCGGCCUUGGCAUCUUCUUGGAGAACGUUGCUGCACUUGACUGUGUGGCGCGGUAUCCAGGACAUUUACUUUGAGGAAAUUAGAGUGUUUCAAGCAGGCAUACGCCUUGAAUACAUUAGCAUGGAAUAAUAAGAUAGGACCUCGGUUCUAUUUUGUUGGUUUCUAGAGCUGAGGUAAUGAUUAAUAGGGAUAGUUGGGGGCAUUCGUAUUUAACUGUCAGAGGUGAAAUUCUUGGAUUUGUUAAAGACGAACUACUGCGAAAGCAUUUGCCAAGGAUGUUUUCAUUGA
rnacentral:rRNA from 1 species